rnacentral:lncRNA from 1 species
UCAUCCUCUUGGUCAUCAUCUUGUCCACCUGAGGCUCCAGCUGCUCUAGACCCACUGCCCUGUGCCUGCCCUUGAGUCCAAUCCAUCGCACUAUGAAACUCGUCCAUAGUCCACCUGUGCACUAGUGGUUGAUCAUAUAGUCCUACAAUCAUCUCGGUAGUGGCCACCUGCCCUCUGCGAAGGGACUCCAUCCUCGCCUCCAUCAUGGACAUGUACAUGUCCCUCAUUUGAAAAGGCUCAGGCUGUUGCGCCGGUGUAUCUGCAGGCUCAUCCUCCUGCUGUGCUGCUGCCCUCCUAGAACGUCUCCUAGGAACUGCUCCAACCGACUCAUCACCUCUACAGUACUAACGAUAGUAGGAGGCAUCAAUAGCCCUCCUCGGCCUCUCAAAGGGUGGAACUGCAGUGUCCACUCCUGCCUGCUGGCACAAGUAUGUAAUUA